CACGCUUAUGUUUUUUCAGAAAAUAUAUCCACUGAACAAAUCAUCUGAAAACUAAGGCUAAUAGGAGAGGAUGAAGAAUACAUCUGUUAAAAGGUUGAAGUAACUGACGAGCAGGUCAAUCCAACUUGAAGUGCAAGUGGGUCUUCAAAAAUGUGGACCACUCAAGGACUUUUCUGUUGGUUGAUGAUGUACUACAAACAGAAUAUUUAACAAAGAAAUCCACUUUGGUGCUUACUGGCUACUAAUGAUGUGAACUUGUGCAUUUAGUAUACCAAGUACUUUUACAUUUCCUUGAUGAUACUAGACUUGCAUAUACCGAAUUCAGGUUUAGUUGAUUGAUUGCAGUUCUAAGUUCCUCUCGCAAGAUUAUAUCUCUCAUGUAUCAGACAUCAUUAAAUGCAGACAUUUUCUCUGUCCUCCUGUUGUGACAUGAGAGCUCGGACUUAGUUGUAAAAAUAUUUAUGAUGCAAGAGAAAAUAAAUGGCCAAG